ACUCCUACGGGAGGCAGCAGUAGGGAAUCUUCCACAAUGGGCGCAAGCCUGAUGGAGCAACACCGCGUGAGUGAAGAAGGGUUUCGGCUCGUAAAGCUCUGUUGUUAAAGAAGAACACGUAUGAGAGUAACUGUUCAUACGUUGACGGUAUUUAACCAGAAAGUCACGGCUAACUACGUGCCAGCAGCCGCGGUAAUACGUAGGUGGCAAGCGUUAUCCGGAUUUAUUGGGCGUAAAGAGAGUGCAGGCGGUUCUCUAAGUCUGAUGUGAAAGCCUUCGGCUUAACCGGAGAAGUGCAUCGGAAACUGGAUAACUUGAGUGCAGAAGAGGGUAGUGGAACUCCAUGUGUAGCGGUGGAAUGCGUAGAUAUAUGGAAGAAUACCAGUGGCGAAGGCGGCUACCUGGUCUGCAACUGACGCUGAGGCUCGAAAGCAUGGGUAGCGAACAGGAUUAGAUACCCUGGUAGGAUAGCG
rnacentral:rRNA from 1 species